rnacentral:rRNA from 1 species
AUUGAACGCUGGCGGCAUGCCUUACACAUGCAAGUCGAACGGUAACAGGUCUUCGGAUGCUGACGAGUGGCGAACGGGUGAGUAAUACAUCGGAACGUGCCCGAUCGUGGGGGAUAACGGAGUGAAAGCUUUGCUAAUACCGCAUACGAUCUACGGAUGAAAGCAGGGGACCGCAAGGCCUUGCGCGGACGGAGCGGCCGAUGGCAGAUUAGGUAGUUGGUGGGAUAAAAGCUUACCAAGCCGACGAUCUGUAGCUGGUCUGAGAGGACGACCAGCCACACUGGGACUGAGACACGGCCCAGACUCCUACGGGAGGCAGCAGUGGGGAAUUUUGGACAAUGGGCGCAAGCCUGAUCCAGCCAUGCCGCGUGCAGGAUGAAGGCCUUCGGGUUGUAAACUGCUUUUGUACGGAACGAAAAGACUCUUUCUAAUAAAGAGGGUCCAUGACGGUACCGUAAGAAUAAGCACCGGCUAACUACGUG